GCCGGCACUCAAUCCACUGAGCCACACCAGCCAGGGUUAAGCGCACUCUCGUCAGAACCUUUGAUACCGCAGAUGCGGUUUCCUAAAAUGUGGCUCCCUUAGACUUAGAGAUUGAUUUAGGAUAAUAUUCACGAUGACCCUUUUCUUUCCCACCAAGGGCACUAUGACUUAAGCACUUCCUGUGGAGGCAUGCAGUGGAUGCACACUAUAAUAAUGGUAUGCAAUGGUGUGCUGUCUAUCAUAUGUUUAACAUGUUCAGUUGUGUACAAUUUACAAUGUAUUUUCAGAUGUUUGUGCUGUUUUGACCUUCACAGAACCCAAGACAGGGACCACUGCUGGGACAAGGAGUACUAUACUUCCGCCGGCCCCUUUCCUAAAGAGCAGUCAGCGAGGAGGGCUAGGCUCUGGCGGCGUCUAAAGAGUGGUCUGUCUGACGCCCCGACUCUGUGACUGCCACCUCACAGACACGAAAACAGUCCGACAGGCCAGGGAACCUGCUCCCUGCCCCGGAGUGGAGCGGAGAGUCAAAUCUGGAAGGAGGAUGCCUGUCUUCUGGACUCCAGCGGCUCUUUCUGCCACACCCUUCUCCCUGGAUCUAAAGGGAAUCUGAUGUUCUUUGCCUCUCCCUCCUUCUAUUUUCUUUAUGGUCUACGUUGGUUUUUUGUCAAAAUUGCAGAGACUUCCAUUUUUGUGGUAGCAGUGAAGAGAAAACAAGAGGUGGGGUGGGAGGUGGUGAUAUCACAUGACAUAUCACUGAUGAAAUAUGUAGGGAAAAUGCAAAUUGUGCUGAUUUGUAUCUUUGGAAAAGCUGGGUCACACGCAAUACUAACACAUUUCUGUUUAAGACAUUACCCAGCACACAGUGCCACUCAGCAGUUAGAUUCAAACUUUCACAAAACGCUAAGAAGGGAGAAACUCCCUCUUUUAUUCUAGGUAAGCGUUGUAGAACUCUAAAAUACACAACAGGGAAUGGGCUGCUCAGGCCAAAGCAGAGCCGGAGGCCUCGGGACCCAAUCCAUUCAAUUCCCUUUUCCCACAAGACGGUCUCGUAGAACACAACCUGCAACAUCGCUACUGCGCAGCAGAUUGAAACGACAUCCCCUCUCAUUUAGAGAGCACGAGUCUAGAUUAAAUUGGACAAAUGACGUAACAUUUUGUCUCUGUUACACAGAAUAGUGAACACAAAAUUUUCUUCUCGAUGAAAAAUAUUUAAAACACUCACAUGUAAUCAUGGAACAGAAAAUAG